UGUGGGAUAUAUUGCACAAUAGGGGGAAACCCUGAUGCAGCAACGCCGCGUGAGCGAUGAAGGCCUUCGGGUUGUAAAGCUCUGUCUUCUCUGACGAUAAAGGCCGGACCCCAAGAAGGAAGCCCGGGCUACUUCCUUGCCGCCCCCCGCGGUAUAUAA
rnacentral:rRNA from 1 species